rnacentral:rRNA from 1 species
UACAGAGGGUGCAAGCGUUAAUCGGAAUUAUUGGGCGUAAAGAGCGUGUAGGCGGCUUGUUAAGUCUUGCGUGAAAUCUCGGGGCUCAACCCCGAGCGGUCGUGAGAAACUGGCAGGCUAGAGUGCGGGAGAGGAGAGUGGAAUUCCUGGUGUAGCGGUGAAAUGCGCAGAUAUCAGGAAGAACACCCGUGGCGAAGGCGGCUCUCUGGAACGCAACUGACGCUGAGACGCGAAAGCGUGGGGAGCAAACAGG